AGAGUUUGAUCCUGGCUCAGGAUGAACGCUGGCGGUAUGCUUAACACAUGCAAGUCGAACGGAAUCCUUAGGGAUUUAGUGGCGGACGGGUGAGUAACGCGUGAGAAUCUGCCUUCAGGUUCGGGACAACCACUGGAAACGGUGGCUAAUACCGAAUGUGCAGCGAUGUGAAAAAUUUAUUGCCUGGAGAUGAGCUCGCGUCUGAUUAGCUAGUAGGUGUGGUAAGAGCGCACCUAGGCGACGAUCAGUAGCUGGUCUGAGAGGAUGAUCAGCCACACUGGGACUGAGACACGGCCCAGACUCCUACGGGAGGCAGCAGUGGGGAAUUUUCCGCAAUGGGCGAAAGCCUGACGGAGCAAUACCGCGUGAGGGAGGAAGGCUCUUGGGUUGUAAACCUCUUUUCUCAAGGAAGAAAAAAAUGACGGUACUUGAGGAAUAAGCAUCGGCUAACUCCGUGCCAGCAGCCGCGGUAAUACGGAGGAUGCAAGCGUUAUCCGGAAUGAUUGGGCGUAAAGCGUCCGCAGGUGGCUAUGUAAGUCUGCUGUUAAAGAGUCUGGCUCAACCAGAUAAAGGCAGUGGAAACUACAUGGCUAGAGUGCGUUCGGGGCAGAGGGAAUUCCUGGUGUAGCGGUGAAAUGCGUAGAGAUCAGGAAGAACACCGGUGGCGAAAGCGCUCUGCUAGGCCGCAACUGACACUGAGGGACGAAAGCUAGGGGAGCGAA
rnacentral:rRNA from 1 species